AUCUUUGCGCUUGGGGCAAUGACGCAGCUAAUGAGGUUCUAACCGAGGCGCGUCUAUUGCUGGUUGAAAACUAUUUCCAAACCCCCUCUUAGGCCUGGGUUCAGCCUUGGCCUUCGAGAAUUUCUGGAAGGGCUCCCUUCGGGGUAAAGCCCUACAAUUUAGUUCAAAAAUUUAUUGUUUUCUAUGGUAAUUUUGUAUUGUCCCUUUCAUGAUAAAUAUGUAUGUGUGGAUUGUGGAUCAGUGUGAUACUUCCCGUUCAUCAGACUUUUUGAAUGAAGGUCUAAGGUUAGAUUAAAAACGGGGUUUACCAACCAAAGUUCAGAGAUUAAAAUUAGAAGGGUGGAAGUGAUAUUGCUCACGAAAUAUAUACU